GGGGGGUUACGGGGUGCAACUCCCACCAUUGUGACAUACCUCACCGUUGCUUCGGCGGGUGGCCCUCUCCGGGGCCGCGCCGGCCCCUCCGGGGGCCGGCAACCCGUCAGAGGACCGAAACUCUUAGUAACCAUUGGCCUCUCUGAGUAACUUAUACAAUAAGUCAAAACUUUCAACAACGGAUCUCUUGGUUCUGGCAUCGAUGAAGAACGCAGCGAAAUGCGAUACGUAAUGUGAAUUGCAGAUUUCAGUGAAUCAUCGAAUCUUUGAACGCACAUUGCGCCCGCUAGUAUUCUGGCGGGCAUGCCUGUUCGAGCGUCAUUUCAACCAUCAAGCCCCCGGCUUGCGUUGGAGCCCUGCGGCUGCCGCAGGCUCCCAAAUCCAGUGGCGGGCUCGUCGUCGUACCGAGCGCAGUAAACAUCCUCGCUCAGGGAACGCGUCGGGUUCUUGCCGUGAAACCCCCCACAUAUCAAGGUUGACCUCGGAUCAGGUAGGAAUACCCGCUGAACUUAAGCAUACUU
rnacentral:rRNA from 1 species